CCAAGGCGUCUAGCAUGUGCGCGAGUCAUUGGGACUAUAAUUAAACCUAAAGGCGAAAUGAAAGUGAAGGUCCGCGCCUGGCGCGGACCGAGGGAGGAUGGGCCCGUCCUCGGGCGGGCCCCGCACUCCCGGGGCGUCUCGCUCUCAUCGCGAGAAGAGGCGCACCCAGAGCGUACACGCUGGGACCCGAAAGAUGGUGAACUAUGCCUGGGGAGGACCAAUUCAGGGGAAACCCUGAUGGACGUCCGUACCAAUUCUGACCUGCACCGGGAUCAGGGGAACAGGGAAUAGG
rnacentral:rRNA from 1 species